rnacentral:tRNA from 1 species
GGGUGAUUAGCUCAGUUGGCUAGAGCGCACGAUUCACAUUCGUGAGGUCACAGGUUCGAACCCUGUAUCGCCCACCA